UUUACUCCAUUUACAGGGGUGGAUCACCACUAUCAAACCAUGCAGUUUGGAUGUGCACUUUUAUAGGACGAGACCAAAGUUACAUUUUCGUGGUUGUUUAGUAUUUGGUUUGAAGCUAUGGGAGGAAAACAUCCAUCUGCUAUUAUAACCGACCAAGAUGAUGCCAUGGCUUUUGCUAUAAAGAAGAAAUCUUUCCAAAUCGAGAUAAAUGUGGAAGUGAGAAGAGUUCAAAGUAUGGACAAAUAACUAUGAAGGAAGUCCUAAAAUCUUGUAAUGACUGGUGUAAGCCUAACUGCUGCUUAGUCCAAAAGCUUAACCAAUUAGUAGCAACGCACUGAUGGACGACCAAUUGAUGUCAAAUGAGAGUUUAGUUUAUGUUACUAUCUAGGAAAUGCUUUUUCUUAAUAAGUUUUCAGUUGACAAUAUUUUGAUAUUUCAGUUCAAUUACAUUUUGGCAAUGUUAUGAUUAUUUGACUAUCAUCUGAA